ensembl:lncRNA
AGGUUUCCUGCAUAGAUCAGGCACGUCUGCAGGACUUCAGCUCUUACUCAGUGUAUGUCCAUUUCUGUUCAUAGAACUUAGAUGCCUUCAGCAAAACAUACGUUUCUGUCAUAAAACCAUUGAGAUCAGUGGUUGUACAUUCAGACAGUUAAUGAUUUACUACAUGGUAAAGUCCAUGGAAACCAGGAAGGUAGCAUGUGUGGAGAAAAAUUAAAUAUGAUAGCAACUUUCAUACCGGUUAGGUGACGAAUGGCUGUAGCUAUGGCUCUGAAGUGCUUCCUUGUUUCUGAAAGGCUGUGUGGUUCCAACCUGUCACUAACUUGAGAUGCAGAAAGCUGGUGCAGAGAACCUACACUCUGUAUCCACAGAUGUGAAUGUGGCCCAGCCAACAAGUGAAGCAGUUUGCACAGAAGGAAAAGAGAAGGAGGCCUCAGCUAAAUUCUGUUGGCAUAAGCAGUACUAUGAAAGCUGGGACAGAACAGCUUUUCCAAGUCUGUCUAAGUGGUUGUGUUUGAGGCUGUUCAAAGUGAUCUCCAGCUCUUGUUCAUAGCUUGCUUUAAGUCAGCUCUGCAUGUUUCUCAUGUGAUGGAGAAUGAAACUUAGCCUGACUGCUGCAGUAAGUUUGCUUCUUCACCAGCUGGGAUAUUUGUUUAUGAGGGUAAGAUCUUCAUAGCUAUUAUGAGCUGCACUAAUGAAAUCCAGUGGAACUGAUUUUCAUUUCACUUUUUUUUGUGUGUCAGGAUAAACAGACAGCUCGCUUACAGUUGUAUGUCGUGUUCUGUUCAGAAAGCUACAAUGGCAGUGGGCCAAAGGUGACACACCACCUCCUUGGUGAGUUUUGAAACUAAGUCACGAAGUACUGCAGUGGCUUGGAAGAAGUGGCAGACUGCCGAGGGGACUGCAAAUGUGCUCCCAGCAUUACAGAGCUUGCUGAAAUCUAAUUAUGGUUUUGAGAUGUAUUUGUUCUAAGUUCUAGAUUGGGUGGGUUUGUAACAGAACACCACUGCCACAACUGCUGGAUUAUUUCCCAUUAAACGUAGGCCUAAUUCAGGUCUGCUUUGUGUUCUCAAAUAUUAGCAGUGUGCUGAUUAAAUGUAGUAAUACAAUUACUUUCUCUACUGAUGAGCCAGAAAUUUGAUUUGUGGGUCCCUUCUAGCUCAAAGAAUCACUCUAUGAUUCCAGCUCUGUGUGGUCUGGGGCUAUCUUGAACUGUCAGUACCAGCAAGGCAGUGACAUCUCUGAGGAAGCCUUGCACAGAGCACCAGGUUUGGAGCCCAGGAUGCAUGAGGGGACACAGAAGGCUUUUCCUGAGCGUAGGAGCAGCCUUUAGGAAGCAAGUUGGCGCAUGGGAGUGAACCCACAGAAAGGAGUCCUCAGCAUAUGAUCACUUCCGCAGCAGCAAUGAGACUUGAGGCAGGAUGGCACAGAAGCAUCACUGAGUUACUACCAACCUCUGAGAAGUGCAUCAGGAAGGUUGAGGUUCCUG